rnacentral:rRNA from 1 species
UGAGUAACACGUAGGUAACCUGCCUUUAGAUUGGGAUACCCGAAGGAAACUUUGGCUAAUACCGGAUAAGUAACAACCGAGGCAUCUCGGAUGUUUGAAAGGGGCCUUUAAAGCCCCACUAAAAGAUGGACCUGCGGCGCAUUAGCUAGUUGGUGAGAUAACAGCCCACCAAGGCGAGGAUGCGUAGCCGAACUGAGAGGUUGAUCGGCCACAUUGGAACUGAGACACGGUCCAAACUCCUACGGGAGGCAGCAGUAAGGAGUUUUCGGCAAUGGGGAAACCCUGACCGAGCAACGCCGCGUGAGUGAUGACGGCCCUAUGGGUUGUAAAGCUCUGUUAUAAGGGACGAACAGCUUUGCGAGGAAAUGCGCAGAGUCUGACGGUACUUUAUCAGAAAGCCACGGCUAACUACGUGCCAGCCGCCGC